GAUGAACGCUGGCGGCGUGCCUAAUACAUGCAAGUCGAACGAGGUGCUUGAGUAGCAAUACGAGAGUAUCCUAGUGGCGAACGGGUGAGUAACGCGUUGGUGACCUACCCCAAAGUGUGGGAUAACAGUCCGAAAGGAUUGCUAAUACCGCAUGUGGUCUUCGGGUUUAGAAACCGAUGACGAAAGCAGCAAUGCGCUUUGGGAGGGGACCUGCGUCCCAUCAGCAGUUGGUGAGGUAACGGCUCACCAAGGCGACGACGGGUAGGGGACCGUGAGAGGGGUGGACCCCCACCCAACU
rnacentral:rRNA from 1 species